ensembl:lncRNA
AGGCUUGACGUACUCCUUUCCCGAUUUGGGGUCAGUCUGUUGUUCCACGUUAUUUUAAUUGUUGCAUCAUAGGAAAUUGAAUAUAGUUCUCUGUGCUCUACAGUGGGACCUUGCUGUUUACCCAUUCUGUAUGUAAAAGCUUACAUCUGCUAACCCCAAGCUCCCAUUGCAUCCCUCCCCCAACCCCUUCCCCUUGUCAACCCCAAGUCAGUUGUUUAUGUACAUGAUUCUGUUUUGUAGAUAAUAGGUUCAUUUGUGUCAUAGUUUAGAUUCCGUGUAUAGGUGAUAUCAUAUAGUAUUUGUUUUUUUCUUUCUGACUUACUUCACUUAGUAUGGUAAUCUCUAGUUGUAUCCAUUUUGCUGCAAAUAGCAUUAUUUGUUUUUAAUGGCUGAGUAGUAUUCCAUUGUAUAUAUGUACUACAUCUUAGGUUGUUUCCAUGUCUUGGCUAUUGUGAAUAGUGCUACUAUGAACAUAGGGGUGCAUGUAUCUUUUUGAAUUUUAGGUUUGUCUGGAUGUAUGCCAGUAGUCUGAAUUUGGCAAUAAGGAGUUCAUGAUCUGAGGGAAAAGACCCUGAUGCUGGGAGGGAUUGGGGGCAGGAGGAGAACAGGAUGACAGAGGAUGAGAUGGCUGGAUGGCAUCACUGGCUCAAUGGACAUGAGUUUGGGUGAACUCUGGGAGUUGGUGAUGGACAGGGAGGCCUGGUGUGCUACAAUUCAUGGGGUUGCAAAGAGUCGGACACGAUUGAGCAACUGAACUGAACUCAACAGUACUGAUGCCCCGUAGUGGGAUUGCUGGAUCAUAUGAUAAACUGAUCAAAUGAGGAGACACUUACUUGGAUGUCCAAAAAGGACUGAAGAUUUUUCAAUAUAAAGUUUGGUCAAAUGUCUUUCAAAAAAUACUUUGCAGACUGUUCUACUAAAGAGGCAUACCUCCACCCCUUUUAUAACCUAAUAAUCUGUUGAACGGAAGAAGAGCAGUGCAGUUUAUGGCAAAGAACUGUUCAAGAGGUUGCUUGGAGGUGGGAUGACUUAAGUGUUUCUCAAUGGUGGGGCACAGCUCACCUCUAUCAGAAUGCCCUGGAGAGCUUUAGAAACUUCACAUUCCUAGGCUCCAAUCCAUCCCUACUGAGUCUGGGUGGGGACCCAGAAGCUGCAUAUUUAGUGAGCUUUGUAGGUGAUUCUUUUGCAUCUUCAAAUGUAGGUGAUCUCUUCAAAGUGGUAUUAGUGGUUAUGUCAUAAAACCCAGUAGUGCCUUCUGCGCUGGUACUUUUCUAGCUUUGAAGAAAGGGUCAGUGGUACAUUGCCUUUGGAAAAAUUCCAGUCUGAGCCAAAGAGCAAAGCUUUUUCCCUCUUCUCAAUGUUUGCUCUUAACUCUGUUUUCCUUCAUGGGUUCAGUUGACCAGCCUUCCUCAUGGAGAAUAAGAAUAGUAUUUGGAGUUGAGCAGCUCCCCAAACCUUGUUUUUCUUAUUUUUGGUUCUUGUUUGUUCCUAAUAUCACUGCAUUGCUGAUAGGUGACCAUGAUCUGCAUUUUUAGGCAAGAAAAGGAACACAUACUAGCAGCUGAGUCUCCUGACAGUUACUACGUAUGAAGUAGAUCCCAGUCUCUGACAACACCUUCUAUUGGGAGUGGUCUUAAACUUGUGUACAUGUUGGAACUAUCUGGGAAAGUUUAAAACUCCUAAUGCCUAGGUCAUACCCUUGGCCAAUGUCAUUAGAACCUCUGAAGUAGGACCCAGGCAUCAGUACUUUAAUAAGCUCCCUUGGUGAUGUGAAAGUCACUCAGUCUUGUCCGACUUUUUGCGACCCACGGACUGCACAGUCCAUGGAAUUCUGCAGGCCAGAGUACUGGAGUGGGUAGCCGUUCCCUUCUCCAAGGGAUCUUCCCAACCCAGGGAUUGAACUCAGGUCUCCCGCAUUGCAGGCGGAUUCUUUACCAGCUGAGCCACCAGGGAAGCCCCAUGUCAGGGUACAAAUUAGACCAAGAACCACGAUUCUGGGGAGAUCUGUAUAAAGUGCAUUGAGGCUUUUAGAGCACCUGAGGCUGAUCAUCAACAUUUUUCUUUACAGAUGAAACCUUUCCUAUUUGCGGCACAUACUAAAGGGAAGAGAAAAGUUAGGAGAUAUUUCUUACAGAAAUCUCUUCCUGUAAUAGAAUUUAAACAUUUCUUCAGAGUGUUCAGCCACCAUUGCAAAAGGUCCAGUGCAUGUGCACAGUCCCCCCCACCCCCGAGUGUGCCCUACCUAGUGCACCCAUGGGAUACCCAC